rnacentral:lncRNA from 1 species
AAACUGUUGGAGAGAAAAAGCACAAUGAAAAUUGUAAGAGUGCUUAGGAAGGAUGACAUCGGUAAUCAUUUGGACAACACUGGCACAGCCCAUCUCAGGAUGUGGAUCCGUGGGUCCCCCCACCCCAUUUAGUCAUGGAACCAGACCAGAACCAAUGACACCAGGACCGUCUCUGGGAGUGCCUUCAGGUAGUACCUGCAGCACUGAGGAACAGGAUUUGUGUCUCUUGGACUGACUGCAUCAACUCAGCUGUGAAACUGGCUUGAGCCUGGAUCAGCAAGGAUCAACUGGAACAGGACCUCGUGGGGUUUCCUUAGGGCUCACAGGUGCUUAGGAUCAGGUUCUUUGUAGUUACCAAACUCUCUUCUGGCUCCUGCUGCCCCUGUUUGGCCAACACCUGUAUGACUUGUCCCACCAAGCAGACUGGCCCUGCAUUUGUACAUUGUGCUUAAGCCCCAUAAAACUAUCAUGCGAAACAAGGAGCCACCUUUGAAACCACACCACAGAAACUCAUCAGGGCAAGUCAUUCUCAAACUCAGCUUUUCAUGUGAAGUAAACUUCUAACAGUAUUCCCAGGAAAGAGAUAAGAUGUGCUAAGAUUUGCUAUUGUAAGCCCAAUACUGCCAGAGGCCCAUGGCAACACACAGAAUCUAAGCCAAGGUAUAGAAACACACUACAGGAUCAAAACAAACAAACAAACAAACAAAAACCCUUCAGGCUUUACUAAGAAAUCUCAUUAAAAAGGUCAAAUCCAUAGAGAAGGCUAGCAAGAAUAGAUGAGGUGCUGAACCUACAGGAGUAACAUAAUAGGGAUGUUGUAACAUCCAGCCACAGAAAAAGUUCCCAGAUUUAGGCUGCAUUUAUUUCUUCUUUGCCAUAUAUUUUCCUGGUAAGCAUGAGUCCCUACUCAAACUAUCUGCAGAAAAAUAUCCUCCAAGAAUUUUGUUAGUGCUUUUUAUCUUUUGUAAUUAUAAAGGCAAGCUGCUGUAACAUGAAAAGCCUGGAAAUACUUCAAUGUUUUUUAACUGUGUAAAUGUGAUAAAAAGUCUUUCUCUGAUUUCUUUUCUUAUUUUAUCUGUGUCUUUUAUUUUUUUAUUUUUUACUUUUCGUUUCACAUUCAGCUGGGGCUCACUUCUCAGUAGAAAUGGAACCUUGAAUAUUUUGAAGAAAUUAGAUUUUGAAACAGAUAAGCUAUAAAUAAUGGACAAUUUAGUGCUGCAGCUGCACAAUAUGACUACUAUCUCUCAUUUUUAACAGCAAAAGAAGUUGCAUUGAUCUGAACACAAACAGACUUAAGCACGUGAAAAUCUGUGGUGCACAUGAAAUGGAUAUGGUUGAAUCUAUUUCAAUUAUUUCAUUGAUUAUGUGCAUUUUUUCUCCAAUGUAUGAACUUAGACAUGUAUGAGAACUUCAAAGAAAUACAUUCAUUGCCUAGCAGGAUUUUCAAAAUAAUCUAACCUUUGAAAAUCCCACUGGGAGCCUAUCUACAUUUUUAAAUGCCUAAAUAUCCUUUAAAACCCGGUCCUCUGCAACAUUAUUUUUGUCCUUGUAUAAGAAUGUGCAACACAGUGUUUGAACCUUCCUCUAAAUUUGCCUGUCUUUUCACAUUACAUACUUAAUAAAGUAAAUAUGAGG